rnacentral:rRNA from 1 species
CAGAAUAGGACUAAGCCAUGCGAGUCAACGUAGCAAUACGUGGCAUACGGCUCAGUAACACGUAGUCAACAUGCCCAGGGGACGUGGAUAACCUCGGGAAACUGAGGAUAAACCGCGAUAGGUCAUAGUAUCUGGAAUGAUUUAUGGCUUAAAUCUAUAUGGCCCCUGGAUUGGACUGCGGCCGAUCAGGCUGUUGGUGAGGUAAUGGCCCACCAAACCUAAAACCGGUACGGGCUCUGAGAGGAGAAGCCCGGAGAUGGGCACUGAGACAAGGGCCCAGGCCC